GGGCGGGAGCCUGAUCCAGCCAUGCCGCGUGCAGGAUGACGGCCCUAUGGGUUGUAAACUGCUUUUAUACGGGAAGAAAUGCGCCCACGUGUGGGCGUCUGACGGUGCCGUAAGAAUAAGGACCGGCUAACUCCGUGCCGGCAGCCGCGGUAAUACGGAGGGUCCGAGCGUUAUCCGGAAUCAUUGGGUUUAAAGGGUCCGUAGGCGGGCCUGUAAGUCAGGGGUGAAAGUUUGUGGCUCAACCAUAAAAUUGCCUUUGAUACUGCAGGUCUUGAGUCAUGGUGGGGUCGCCGGAACAUGUGGUGUAGCGGUGAAAUGCAUAGAUAUCACAUAGAACACCGAUCGCGAAGGCAGGUGGCCAACCAUGUACUGACGCUGAUGGACGAAAGCGUGGGUAGCGAACGGGAUUAGAUACCCCGGUAGUCCACGCCGUAAACGAUGGAUACUAGCUGUGGGGACUUCGGUCUCCGUGGCCAAGCGAAAGUGAUAAGUAUCCCACCUGGGGAGUACGUUCGCAAGAAUGAAACUCAAAGGAAUUGACGGGGGCCCGCACAAGCGGUGGAGCAUGUGGUUUAAUUCGAUGAUACGCGAGGAACCUUACCAGGGCUUAAAUGCAGGCUGCAUGGGGUAGAGAUACCCCUUUCUUCGGACCGCCUGCAAGGUGCUGCAUGGUUGUCGUCAGCUCGUGCCGUGAGGUGUCAGGUUAAGUCCUAUAACGAGCGCAACCCCUACCGUUAGUUGCCAGCAUGUCAAGAUGGGGACUCUAACGGGACUGCCGGUGCAAACCGUGAGGAAGGUGGGGACGACGUCAAAUCAUCACGGCCCUUACGUCCUGGGCUACACACGUGCUACAAUGGCCGGUACAGAGGGAAGCCACCCCGCAAGGGGGCGCGGAUCUACAAAACCGGUCACAGUUCGGAUCGGGGUCUGCAACUCGACCCCGUGAAGCUGGAAUCGCUAGUAAUCGGAUAUCAGCCAUGAUCCGGUGAAUACGUUCCCGGGCCUUGUACACACCGCCCGUCAAGCCAUGGAAGCCGGGAGUGCCUGAAGUCCGUCACCGCAAGGAGCGGCCUAGGGCAAAAUCGGUAACUAGGGCUAAGUCGUAACAAGGUAGCCGUACCGGAAGGUGCGGCUGGAACACCUCCUUUCU
rnacentral:rRNA from 1 species